rnacentral:rRNA from 1 species
UGAGUAAUGCCUAGGAAUCUGCCUGGUAGUGGGGGACAACGUCUCGAAAGGGACGCUCAUACCGCAUACGUCCUACCGGAGAAAGCAGGGGACCUUCGGGCCUUGCGCUAUCAGAUGAGCCUAUGUCGGAUUAGCUAGAUUGGUGAGGUAAUGGCUCACCAAGGCGACAAUCCGUAACUGGUCUGAGAGGAUGAUCAGUCACACUGGAACUGAGACACGGUCCAGACUCCUACAGGACGCAGCAGUGGGGAAUAUUGGACAAUGGGCGAAAGCCUGAUCCAGCCAUGCCGCGUGUGUGAAGAAGGUCUUCGGAUUGUAAAGCACUUUAAGUUGGGAGGAAGGGCAGUAACUUAAUACGUUGCUGUUUGGACGUUACCGACAGAAUAAGCACCGGCUAACUCUGUGCCAUCAUCCGC